rnacentral:rRNA from 1 species
UAGGGAAUCUUCGGCAAUGGACGAAAGUCUGACCGAGCAACGCCGCGUGAGUGAAGAAGGCUUUCGGAUCGUAAAACUCUGUUGUUAGAGAAGAACAAGGACGUUAGUAACUGAACGUCCACUGACGGUAUCUAACCAGAAAGCAACGGCUAACUACGUGCCAGCAGCCGCGGUAAUACGUAGGUGGCAAGCGUUGUCCGGAUUUAUUGGGCGUAAAGCGAGCGCAGGCGGUUUCGUAAGUCUGAUGUGAAAGCCCCCGGCUUAACCGGGGAGGGUCAUUUGAAACUGGGAGACUUGAGUGCAGAAGAGGAGAGUGGAAUUCCAUGUGUAGCGGUGAAAUGCGUAGAGAUAUGGAGGAACACCAGUGGCGAAGGCGGCUCUCUGGUCUGUAACUGACGCUGAGGCUCGAAAGCGUGGGGAGCAAACAGG